AUACUGUAUAGUGCCCUACGUCUGACCAGGGAUAGGUGGUAUAUUAGGUGGUAUAUUUCUACACUGUAUAGUGCCCUACAUCUGACCAGGGAUAGGUGGUAUAAUAGAUGGUAUAUUCCUACACUGUAUAGUGCCCUACAUCUGACCAGGGCUAGGUGGUAUAAUAGAUGGUAUAUUCCCAUACUGUAUAGUGCCCUACGUCUGACCAGGGAUAGGUGGUAUAAUAGAUGGUAUAUUCCUACACUGUAUAGUGCCCUACAUCUGACCAGGGAUAGG